rnacentral:rRNA from 1 species
CCUACGGGUGGCAGCAGUGGGGAAUAUUGCACAAUGGGGGAAACCCUGAUGCAGCGACGCCGCGUGAGCGAUGAAGUAUUUCGGUAUGUAAAGCUCUAUCAGCAGGGAAGAAAAUGACGGUAACUGACUAAGAAGCCUCGGCUAACUACGUGCCAGAAGCCGCGGUCAUACGUAGGGGGCAAGCGUUAUCCGGAUUUACUGGGUGUAAAGGGAGCGUAGGUGGCUGUGCAAGCCAGAUGUGAAAGCCCGGGGCUCAACCCCGGGACUGCAUUUGGAACUGGGUGGCUGGAGUGUCGGAGAGGCAUGCGGAAUUCCUAGUGUAGCGGUGAAAUGCGUAGAUAUUAGGAAGAACACCAGUGGCGAAGGCGGCCUUCUGGACGAUAACUGACGUUGAGGCUCGAAAGCGUGGGGAGCAAACAGGAUUAGAUACCCGAGUAGUC